AUUGAACGCUGGCGGCAGGCCUAACACAUGCAAGUCGAGCGAGCGGCGGACGGGUGAGUAAUGUAUGGGGAUCUGCCCGAUAGAGGGGGAUAACUACUGGAAACGGUGGCUAAUACCGCAUACUAUCGGAUGAACCCAAGUGGGAUUAGGUAGUUGGUGAGGUAAAGGCUCACCAAGUCGACGAUAUCUAGCUGGUCUGAGAGGAUGACCAGCCACACUGGGAAUGAGACACGGCCCAGACUCCUACGGGAGGCAGCAGUGGGGAAUAUUGCGCAAUGGGGGCAACCCUGACGCAGCCAUGCCGCGUGAAUGAAGAAGGCCUUCGGGUUGUAAAGUGCUUUCGGUAGCGAGGCGUUAUCUACAGAAGAAGCACCGGCUAACUCCGUGCCAGCAGCCGCGGUAAUUC
rnacentral:rRNA from 1 species